CCCAGACUCCUACGGGAGGCAGCAGUGAGGAAUAUUGGUCAAUGGGCGCGAGCCUGAACCAGCCAAGUCGCGUGAGGGAUGACGGUCCUACGGAUUGUAAACCUCUUUUGCCGGGGAGCAAGCGUGCGUUCGUGAACGCGCGUCGAGAGUACCCGGAGAAAAAGCAUCGGCUAACUCCGUGCCAGCAGCCGCGGUAAUACGGAGGAUGCGAGCGUUAUCCGGAUUUGUUGGGUUUAAAGGGUGCGCAGGCGGAAUGUCAAGUCAGCGGUAAAAUUUCGGGGCUCAACCCCGUCGUGCCGUUGAAACUGGCGUUCUUGAGUGAGCGAGAAGUAUGCGGAAUGCGUGGUGUAGCGGUGAAAUGCAUAGAUAUCACGCAGAACUCCGAUUGCGAAGGCAGCAUGCCGGCUCCACACUGACGCUGAAGCACGAAAGCGUGGGGAUCGAACAGGAUUAGAUACCCUCGUAG
rnacentral:rRNA from 1 species